UCUCAUGAACUGUGAGGUCACGACCUGAGCCGAAAGCAAGAGUCAGACACGCGACCGACCAAGCCGCUGGUGCUCCUUGAGCUGUCCGUUAGCUAGUUCCAGGGGUGCUUCGCAGAGGUAGUCACUCGAAUCUCUGCAAGCUUAUUUUGUCCUUCGGGAUGCUUUGAAGAGAAAGGGACCUUACUUCACGUAUCAUCAGACCCACCAUCCCUUUAACUGACUUGGAGGCAGAGGUAGGAGGCUUGCGAUUAGACUGAGCCACAGGAAGAACCGCUCUGUCCGCCUCCUCCCCCCGCCGCCCCCACUUCCCUCCUCGUCGGCCACGCUCCCGGACAAGUGCUCGGAAGUAGGUGGCGUGGUGGUCGCGAGGGUGGGUGCCGAGCCCGCCUCCCACCCUGGCUCAGCCGCCCGAGGGUGCGUGACCUCGGACCAGCGUGAGCCCCGGCGUCUUGUGUCGUCGUCCGUAAAAGGAGGGUGACGGUACCUGCUGCAGAGUGCAUCCUGAGGACGGAAUGCUUCCUCUGGGUCCUGGAACAGCCCCGACGUGUCCCGGGCGUGUCACAGCCGCUGCCAUCACGUUUAUUGCGCUUGCUCUUACUGUUUCGUGCAGAUACGCGGACGGUCUUGGUUCCUGUGAGAGGCGCUGGAAUCGGUUCCUCUCGCAAAGCCUUGCUUACCGCGGGGUCCCUGCGGAGAAGGUCACUGCUGCUCACCCGACGAUUCCUUUAUCCCAGAGAGCACACGGUACUUUACGGACGUCCUCUUGCCUGGCAGACGGGGCCUGGAGCCUCCUGGGGGUCUCUGCUGUGCGACCACGGGCUUCUGCUCGUGAUUGCUCCGUCCUCGGGGGCCGGGCCAUCUCAGGUGGCUCCACGCGGUCUCCGGCCGCGGCCCCGAGUGGGGAUCGCAGCACCAGGGCGGCACGGUGUCUUUAGGAGUUUGUCGUGUCCAGAGUGCAUCUCCCCGACGAACGCUCCCCUGCAGCACGAGGGCUGACUUCGUGUGGGGCUGGGCCCCCGCGCGCGUGUAUUCGGUAACCUCUCACUCACGGCCCACCUGCCCUGGAAGAGCUUCGAAGUAGGUAGAAGACGGGCAGGGGACAUUCGUCCCGCGGACGCUGAAAGCGUCUCUCCUUCCGCGCACCAGGAGCUGCGGGGACGAAGCCGGCGGUCCCGGCACGCAGGCGCCGCUGAGACGGGACACGCAGGGGCUCGCCCGGCGUCUCGGAGGUGACACUGGAGUGCGGCCCCAGAUGCACAUGGAACCGCUUCACGGCCCCAGAAGCCUUUAGUGUGGUUUCAGUUAGAAGUGGUGGUGGCCGUUUCUGAUCCCGAGACCUGUCGUGGCAUGUGGACGCCUCGCUCUGACCGCCCCGUGCCACACUGCGCUUUCAAGUGGUGAGUCAAGUGAUUCCAGACUGUGUCAUGCACGAAAUUGGUCGCGGUGCCCUCGGAGCCUUUACCUCCAAAACCCCGCGGCUGUGAGCUACCCACGCAGCCCUCACUCGGCCGCAGGAGCUUCUGGGGUGGGGAGCGGGUGUGGUGACAGAGGGCAGGGGCCUCCUCCUCCCGUCACUCGGCCGGUGUCACUUUGCUCACCUUGGAGGCUUGGGCUUUACACGUGUGGGAUUUGUCAAGGACCAAGCGCUCCUAACCCGGCUGGUGUGGAGGGGGUGGGGGGCAAGAGACAGACCGCGUCCGCACGCGUGUGACGGCGCUGGGGACGCGGAGCCACCUGAGGUGGGGGGAGAGGAGCAGAGGCCCGUGAGGUGCUGAGUGUCGGGCCUCCCCUGUAGAGGCUCCACUUGCGGAAAGUGAAUCGUGCCUACCAAGGACAGAGAAUGCACCCUUUGUUCCAGAAUCACCUAGAAGGUGCUGAUCGGGGUUCAGCCCAGGAAGAAAGUGUCUGACACAGCUCUGUCAGAAUUGGGCAGUUUGUGUUCUUGGGCCUUGUGGCUCUUCCUGUGACGUCCUAGUCCCCUGGGGAUUCAGAGGCCAGGAAACGGCCCCUGCCUGCAGAGGGGGUGGUUCCGGGAUGACUCCUUCCUGCCCCUUCUUGGAGCUCGUGCUAAACACAAGUAUUAUUUCAUAUUCUCCAGACUGUGGCCUGUAAUCUACCAAUCUGGCAGCUGUCCCCCCACCCCCACCAGCCGGGUCAGUCUUCCCGUGACCACGCUCAGGAUUCACAAUUAGCCAGUAAUUGGUAAAUGAGCGAGGACGCACGCGUUCAUUUGUCGGUGCCGCCGGGACACAACACGCGGCAGAGCCUCGAACGGCUCGGAUCCGCACGGCGCUGGAGUGCCUGAACCACAGAUGUUCCCUCAUAUGAAAAUACAGAAGUGCGGAGGGAAAUCAGAUACCAGAUAGGCCGACAAUUUGGAGAAGGAGGAGGGAGCCAGAUGGGUGGUUUGUGGCGGUUAUUGGGCACACUCUGGCUUCCAGCGCCAGGCGGGGAGACCCCGGAUAGAAUCCGCACCGCAGAAACUUCUGCUUUAAUUUCCUGACGGAGAAGAGCAUGGGGUUAGCCGGAUGACAUAAUGAGAGUUAAGAGCAGAAGGUAAUUAUGGUAGAUGAAGGCAGAAGGAAAGGGAAGUAUGUUGGCCCUUGGAGGUCGAGUCAGUCCGUGCAGGAGAAGCAUGUGCUGCCCCGGGAAGGGAAGGAACGGUGGCCGUGUUUUCCAGGUGUGUCCUGACCGCCGGCCCUCGUCUGUCCGCAGCUGGGUGCCCCUCACCCUCCAGAAACCCCUGAAUCGUGAGCUCUUCCUCCUUCACCACCUCCACUCGGACGUCCUCUGUGGUCUGGACAAGGUCCUCGUCCUCCGGCAGAGGCCUCGGGGGAGGCCAGGGAUCCCGGGGCAGCAGUUUGAGAGACGCCACUUUUCUCCCCUCAGAAAGUCAGUACAUGAAGAGCAGGGCUGAGGUUGGUGAGGGCCUGGGAAGCGGGGCCCCCCAGAACACCCCCCCGACACGGGCAGGUUCUCCACCUUGCGUGGCUAGGAGGAAAGCGGAAGUAAGUCAUUGCCGCGGGAAGAGAAGCCGCCCUUUCGAUGCCUGCUCGUCCUUUGCCUGACAGCAUCGGCAUAUUUAGAAGUAUUUUGUCUUUUAGCAAGGGAAAGCGUUUUCCGAAGCGUUUUAAACUGAGCUACUUCUUGGCACUCUGAAAGAUUCUUCAGUUUUACCACUUCCGUGAAGAUGCUAGUUUAGAUACGCAAGUCGUUUGAAAGCAUCCUGACCUUUAGCAGAACCGUGGCUUCGCUUCACAAAAACCUUAAUAUCAUAACGUGGCAGGUAAUUACACGGUUUUUGUGAAACCCGGAAACCUGAUCAAGUAGGUUCGCCUCAUA